UAAAAAAAGUUUUUUUUCAACUUAUAUGUAAAUUCUAAGAAAAAAAACACAAAAUGGCUUGUGCAGCAAUAUUGGCACUCCUCAAUAUUUGGUUGCACAACCUUUGGCAGCGAUGAGAGCCGCCAAACGUUUCUUGUAUCUAUAAGCUGUUUGCAUUUCUCAGAUGGUAUUUUCUCCCACUCUCUCUUCACAAUUUGUUCAAGCGCUUGAACAUUUGCAUGGUUCUUUUCACCAAUGGCAGAUUUUCCAUUGGAUUGAGAUCAGGACUGAUUGCUGGCCAUUUUAAAACAGAGCUUUGGGUUUUUGUCUUGCUGGAGGACCCAUGAUCUUCAUUUCAAACCAAAUUUUCUUACACUGGGUAAGAAAUUUUGCUCUAAAAUCUCUUGAUAAUUCUCUGAUUUAAUCAUACCUGCGGUACAGUCAAGGCCUCCAGUAUGAGAUUUAGUAAAGCAACCCCACAGCAUUAUGGAUCCUCCACCAUGCUUGACUGUUGGCAGGGUGAUCUUUUCCUUUAAGGCUUCAUUGCGUGGUCUGUAAACACAGUCUUUUGUGUGCAUUGCCAAUAAAGCGCUAUUUUUGUUUCAUCUGUCCAUAAAAUGUUAUCCUUUGCUCUUUUGUAUCAAACAAGUUCUCGAGACAAAAAUGUUGUUUUACUUGAUUCAUAUUCUUCAGAAGAUAUACCACAUUUAGUACUUAAAACUUCAUGGGUACCAAUAAUGGUGAGCACGACUGUACACAAACCUCAGUGAUGUGUGUGACGCGAGUCCAUCUGUGUUCAAUUCAAAUACAGGACAUGAUUUGGAAAGACUGACAAAGUAUAUCAUAGUAAAAAACAAUCCAUGGGAUUAAAGGGAGCGCAAGGAAGGACUCAGAGACAGCAUUGUGGCAAGGCACAGAACUGGGCAAGGUUACAAAUAAUUUUCCGCUGUACUUACUCAUGUUUCUAAGAGCACAGUGGCCUCUACAAUUCUUAAAUGGCGGAACUUUGGAACAGCCAGGAUUAUUCCUAGAGGUGGCCGCCCAGCCAAAAUGAGCAAAAGAGGUAGAAGAGCUUUUGUAAGAAGCGUGACCAAGACCAAGCCCCAGAAUUUCUCUGAAAAGAUGGGAAUAAGUGCCAGAAGGACAAACAUACAAUCUUGGAAAGAACAUGUGGGCUUUGAAGUGAAUUACACCAAGGACAGGCAGUUGUGUCUAGCUACUCAGCGCAUUUGCCGUGGCGCGAGUGGGGCGGGCAGGCGAAAAUUCGCCUCCUGCGCCAUUCGGUCAAAGCUGGGAGAGGUGACCUACAAACCACAUUCACUUCGUGACAACGAAUCAGCAUCGAGAAUGGACUACGCCGCACACUGUGGGCACCCUGAGCUGUAUGACACGUUAUCAGUGCCGGCCGGCCGGGACCAAACAAGAGAGGAGCAGGCUUGGAAAGUCGUGAAGGAAUGAAGCUGGCAUACCUGAUGAACUUUAUUGGACAGAUUAGAGGGAGCAGGAGGGGGGUCAUGAGAACAGGACGCUGUUGACUCUGCCCCACCUCAAAGACCGCCUUGCCUAAAAAAAGGAAAUGGAAAAGGAGAGGAGCAAUUGAGGAGAAGACUGAGCAUUUUCUCCGUUUCCUAAAGGACAGUACAAAUGUUCCUCCACCCUCGGGCCCCCACUGCGAGGAUCCACUGUUCAUGACAAGCAUGAUUCCUUCCUUCUGAUUCCAGAAGGAAUAUGUCAAAUUUUAAAUUCCUAAAUUAAUGUAUGAACAAAGCACAUUUACUCUAAAUUUGGACCAAUUGGAUCAAUAAUGUCCAGGUGGCAAUCUUAUCCAGGAAGGAUUCAGGCUUUUAUACUUUUUGUUGUUGUUGUUAUUUUGUUCGAGAUGGAUGUUUCGUUAAAACUUUUGUUGUUUUUUUUUAAGAAUAAAUCCACUUUGUUUUAUUAA